rnacentral:rRNA from 1 species
GCUUAUCACCAUUUCAGAUUGAAUAUGCCCGAUCUCGUCUGAUCUCGGAAGUCAAGCAAUCUCGGGCUUGG